rnacentral:rRNA from 1 species
GGACGGGUGAGUAAUGUCUGGGAAACUGCCUGAUGGAGGGGGAUAACUACUGGAAACGGWAGCUAWUACCGCAUAACGUCSCAAGACCAAAGAGGGGGACCUUCGGGCCUCUUGCCAUCAKAUGUGCCCAGAUGGGAUUAKCUAKUAGGUGGGGUAACGGCUCWCCUAGGCGACGAUCCCUAGCUGGUCUGAGAGGAUGACCASCCACACUGGAACUGAGACACGGUCCASACUCCUACGGGAGGCAGCAGUGGGGAAUAUUGCACAAUGGGCGCAAGCCUGAUGCASCCAUGCCGCGUGUAUGAARAAGGCCUUCGGGUUGUAAAGUACUUUCAGCGGGGAGGAAGGUGUUGUGGUUAAUAACCACAGCAAUUGACGUUACCCGCAGAARAAGCACCGGCUAACUCCGUGCCAGCAGCCGCGGUAAUACGGAGGGUGCAAGCGUUAAUCGGAAUUACUGGGCGUAAAGCGCACGCAGGCGGUCUGUCAAGUCRGAUGUGAAAUCCCCGGGCUCWACCUGGGA